rnacentral:rRNA from 1 species
CAGUCGCCGCGGGAAUACGAAGGGGGCUAGCGUUGUUCGGAAUUACUGGGCGUAAAGCGCACGUAGGCGGACAUUUAAGUCAGGGGUGAAAUCCCGGGGCUCAACCCCGGAACUGCCUUUGAUACUGGGUGUCUAGAGUAUGGAAGAGGUGAGUGGAAUUCCGAGUGUAGAGGUGAAAUUCGUAGAUAUUCGGAGGAACACCAGUGGCGAAGGCGGCUCACUGGUCCAUUACUGACGCUGAGGUGCGAAAGCGUGGGGAGCAAACAGGAUUAGAUACCCCGGUAGUCCCUGUCUCUUAUAU